rnacentral:lncRNA from 1 species
GUGUCUUGAUAUUAUCAUCUGCUGAGGGUGGAGCUGAGGGUGGAAGGGGAGUGAGCUGACGCUCGGAAGGUGUCUUGAGAUUAUCAUCGGCUGAUGGUGGAAGCGGAAUCCGCAGACGCUCAGCAGGUAUCUUGAUAUUAUCAUCUGCUGAGGGUGGAGCUGAGGGUGGAAGGGGAGUGAGCUGACGCUCGGAAGGUGUCUUGAGAUUAUCAUCCGCUGAGGGUGGAAGGCAGGGUAGAGCUGAGGGUGGAAGGGGAGUGAGCAGACACUCGGGAGGUGUCUUGAGUUUAUCAUCCGCUGAGGGUGGAAGGGGAGUGAGGAGACACUCAGGAGGUGUCUUGAGAUUAUCAUCCGCUGAGGGUGGAAGGGGAGUGAGCACACACUCGGGAGGUGUCUUGAGAUUAUCAUCCGCUGAGGGUGGAAGGGGAGUGAGCACACACUCGGGAGGUGUCUUGAGAUUAUCAUCCGCUGAGGGUGGAAGGGGAGUGAGCAGACACUCGGGAGGUGUCUUGAGGCUCAGGGAGUUAUCAGUUAUAGAAUGUUGUUGAGUUGGAGGAGGUGGC